rnacentral:misc_RNA from 1 species
GCUUCACUGGGUCCGAAUAAAUUAGUCCGUACCUUAGAUCUUAUGCCAUCAGCACCAACCAGAAGAUCACCUGUAAAUCGUUGUCCAUUCUCAAGAACCACAGUAACCUUCUCUCCAUCAUCCUCAAAGUCUACAACAUUACUUUCAUUCAUAAUUAUCUCCUCACCAACAGCACGUGCAAGGAUCUGCUGCAAAGUCAUGCGACUGAUAACUCUUGUCACUGGAAGUCCACGUUCCACUGCUGGAGUGAACGUAUCAAACUUGCAAUACCAGUUGCCAGAAAUACCAUCAACCAAGCCAUUAAUCCUUUGACCAGUGAUGCAGCCAGCAUUCAUGAUGUCUUCAGCAACAUCCAAA